ensembl:snoRNA
AUCCUUUUGUAGUUCAUAAACACGAUGAUGGAGUCUCCAUGGGCUUGCGUGAGAUGUGCCGACCUCAAACCCUGUUACAAUAUUGGCACAUUAGCAGUCUGACG